CUACGGGACGCACCAGUGGGGAAUAUUGCACAAUGGGGGAAACCCUGAUGCAGCGAUGCCGCGUGAACGAAGAAGGCUUUCGAGUCGUAAAGUUCUGUUCUUAGGGAAGAAAAUGACGGUACCUAAGGAGAAAGCACCGGCUAAAUACGUGCCAGCAGCCGCGGUAAUACGUAUGGUGCAAGCGUUGUCCGGAAUUACUGGGCGUAAAGAGUUCGUAGGCGGUCAAAUAAGUCAGGAGUGAAAGGCUACGGCUCAACCGUAGUGAGCUUUUGAAACUGUUUGACUUGAGUACUGGAGAGGAAAGUGGAAUUCCUAGUGUAGCGGUGAAAUGCGUAGAUAUUAGGAGGAACACCAGUGGCGAAGGCGGCUUUCUGGACAGUAACUGACGCUGAGGAACGAAAGCGUGGGGAGCAAACAGGAUUAGAUACCCUAGUAGUC
rnacentral:rRNA from 1 species